rnacentral:SRP_RNA from 1 species
CUGCAUGCUGCUGGUGUGACGAAAAACCGUUGCGCCAGCGGGUGACGCCAUCUUUACUCCGCCUGCUGUCAGGGGCCGUGGAGGUUCGGCAAGCGAAUCCCGCCAGGCCUUGAUCGGAGCAACGGUAGUUUGUCCGUGCUUGCCGAACCUCCACGGCCCCUGACAGCAGGCGGAGUAAAGAUGGCGUCACCCGCUGGCGCAACGGUUUUUCGU